GGUGCCCAAGGAUGGGUCUGCGGCCUAUCAGGUUGUAGUGGGUGUAGCGUACCUACUAGCCUACGACGGGUACGGGUUGUGAGAGCAAGAGCCCGGAGAUGGAUUCUGAGACACGAAUCCAGGCCCUACGGGGUGCAGCAGGCGCGAAAACUUUACAAUGCCGGCAACGGCGAUAAGGGAACCUCGAGUGCCAGGUUACAAAUCUGGCUGUCGUGAUGCCUAAAAAGUAUUGCAUAGCAAGGGCCGGGCAAGACCGGUGCCAGCCGCCGCGGUAACACCGGCGGCUCGAGUGGUAACCGUUAUUAUUGGGUCUAAAGGGUCUGUAGCCGGCCGGGUAAGUCUCUUGGGAAAUCUGGCAGCUUAACUGUCAGGCUUUCAGGAGAUACUGCCUGGCUCGAGGCCGGGAGAGGUGAGAGGUACUUCAGGGGUAGGGGUGAAAUCUUGUAAUCCUUGAAGGACCACCAGUGGCGAAGGCGUCUCACCAGAACGGACCUGACGGCAAGGGACGAAAGCUAGGGGCACGAACCGGAUUAGAUACCCGGGUAGUCCUAGCCGUAAACGAUACUCGCUAGGUGUCGGCCACGGUGCGACCGUGGUCGGUGCCGUAGGGAAGCCGUGAAGCGAGCCACCUGGGAAGUACGGCCGCAAGGCUGAAACUUAAAGGAAUUGGCGGGGGAGCACCACAACGGGUGGAGCUUGCGGUUUAAUUGGAUUCAACGCCGGAAAUCUUACCGGGACCGACAGCAAUAUGAAGGCCAGGCUGAAGACUUUGCCGGAUUAGCUGAGAGGUGGUGCAUGGCCGUCGUCAGUUCGUACUGUGAAGCAUCCUGUUAAGUCAGGCAACGAGCGAGACCCACGCCCACAGUUGCCAGCGUACUCUCCGGAGUGACGGGUACACUGUGGGGACCGCCGCUGCUAAAGCGGAGGAAGGAAUGGGCAACGGUAGGUCAGUAUGCCCCGAAUAUCCCGGGCUACACGCGAGCUACAAUGGUUGGUACAAUGGGUAUCUACCCCGAAAGGGGAUGGAAAUCUCCUAAAGCCAAUCUUAGUUCGGAUUGAGGGCUGCAACUCGCCCUCAUGAAGCUGGAAUCCGUAGUAAUCGCGUUUCAACAGAACGCGGUGAAUACGUCCCUGCUCCUUGCACACACCGCCCGUCAAACCACCCGAGUAGGGUCUGAAUGAGAGCGCUUCCUUCGGAGGUGUUCGAAUUUGGGCUUUGCAA
rnacentral:rRNA from 1 species